rnacentral:rRNA from 1 species
GUGUCAGCCGCCGCGGUAAUACGGAGGGUGCGAGCGUUGUCCGGAUUUAUUGGGUUUAAAGGGUGCGUAGGUGGCUAUUUAAGCCAGUGGUGAAAGCCCAUCGCUUAACGAUGGAACUGCCAUUGGAACUGAAUAGCUUGAGUAUCGUUGAAGUAGGCGGAAUUUAUGGUGUAGCGGUGAAAUGCAUAGAUACCAUAAAGAACACCGAUAGCGUAGGCAGCUUGCUAAGCGAUAACUGACACUGAGGCACGAAAGCAUGGGGAGCGAACAGGAUUAGAUACCCUGGUAGUCCAUGCCGUAAACGAUGAUUACUCGCUGUUGGCGAUAUACAGUCAGCGGCCAAGCGAAAGCGUUAAGUAAUCCACCUGGGGAGUACGUCCGCAAGGAUGAAACUCAAAUGAAUUGACGGGG